UGGUGGAGCAUGUGGUUUAAUUCGAUGCAACGCGAAGAACCUUACCUACUCUUGACAUCCACAGAAUUCGGCAGAGAUGCCUUAGUGCCUUCGGGAACUGUGAGACAGGUGCUGCAUGGCUGUCGUCAGCUCGUGUUGUGAAAUGUUGGGUUAAGUCCCGCAACGAGCGCAACCCUUAUCCUUUGUUGCCAGCACGUAAUGGUGGGAACUCAAAGGAGACUGCCGGUGAUAAACCGGAGGAAGGUGGGGAUGACGUCAAGUCAUCAUGGCCCUUACGAGUAGGGCUACACACGUGCUACAAUGGCGUAUACAAAGAGAAGCGAACUCGCGAGAGCCAGCGGACCUCAUAAAGUACGUCGUAGUCCGGAUCGGAGUCUGCAACUCGACUCCGNGAAG
rnacentral:rRNA from 1 species